AGACAGAGGUGGCAAGCGUUGUUCGGAUUUACUGGGCUUAAAGCGCGCGUAGGCGUCCUGAUAAGUCAGAUGUGGAAGCCUUGGGCUUAACCCAAGAAUUGCAUUUGAUACUGUCGGGAUUGAGUCAUGCAUAGGAGGGCGGAAUUCCUGGUGUAGCGGUGAAAUGCGUAGAUAUCAGGAGGAAGGCCGGAGGCGAAGGCGGCCCUCUGGGCAAUGACUGACGCUGAGGUGCGAAAGCGUGGGUAGCAAACAGGAUUAGAAACCCCAGUAGUCC
rnacentral:rRNA from 1 species